rnacentral:rRNA from 1 species
ACAGGGAUUGCCCCAGUAACGGCGAGUGAAGCGGCAACAGCUCAAAUUUGAAAUCUGGCCCCCAGGGCCCGAGUUGUAAUUUGUAGAGGAUGCUUUUGGCGAGGCGCCUUCCGAGUUCCCUGGAACGGGACGCCACAGAGGGUGAGAGCCCCGUCUGGUCGGAUGCCAAGCCUAUGUAAAGCUCCUUCGACGAGUCGAGUAGUUUGGGAAUGCUGCUCAAAAUGGGAGGUAUAUGUCUUCUAAAGCUAAAUACCGGCCAGAGACCGAUAGCGCACAAGUAGAGUGAUCGAAAGAUGAAAAGCACUUUGAAAAGAGGGUUAAAAAGUACGUGAAAUUGUUGAAAGGGAAGCGCCUAUGACCAGACUUGGGCCCGGUGAAUCAUCCAGCGUUCUCGCUGGUGCACUUUGCCGGGCACAGGCCAGCAUCAGUUUGGCGCGGGGGAUAAAGGCUUCGGGAACGUGGCUCCCUCGGGAGUGUUAUAGCCCGUUGCGUAAUACCCUGCGCCGGACUGAGGUACGCGCAUUGCAAGGAUGCUGGCGUAAUGGUCAUCAGCGACCCGUCUUGAAACACGGACCAAGGAGUCGUCUUCGUAUGCGAGUGUUCGGGUGUAAAACCCCUACGCGUAAUGAAAGUGAACGCAGGUGAGAGCUUCGGCGCAUCAUCGACCGAUCCUGAUGUUCUCGGAUGGAUUUGAGUAAGAGCAUACGGGGCCGGACCCGAAAGAAGGUGAACUAUGCCUGUAUAGGGUGAAGCCAGAGGAAACUCUGGUGGAGGCUCGCAGCGGUUCUGACGUGCGAAUCGAUCGUCAAAUAUGGGCAUGGGGGCGAAAGACUAAUC